GAGUGUAUAGCUCAGUGGUAGAGUACAUGCCUAGCAUGCACAAGGCCCUGGGUUCAAUCCCUAGUACUUCCA
rnacentral:tRNA from 1 species